rnacentral:lncRNA from 1 species
UCGACAUUUGAGCGUCUGAGACGCUGGAGGUUUUUUUUUGUUGCUAAAAGGAGAAUUUAUUAUUAAGUAGGAAAUUAAGAGGUAUCAUUACAGUCCGGAACUGUCUUAACGAUACAGUCCUAAAAAGUUUUUGUGUAAAAUAGAGAAAGCAAAUAAAGGUGGUUCACUUCAUAUCUUCACACUCACCUUCUCACGAGAUGCUUUUGUCAACCACUGCAACCCUUUUUCCCUUUUCACGUGCACUUCUCUUCUUGCUCAUUUUUCAUCUUUGUUAGAAAAAAAUAGCCUCUUAGGCCUAGUAUAUAUGUAAGGGGUGCUAGCUAUUAAGCUGGUCCUUUAGACAAUCUAAUCCUAACCCUAAAUAUAGUCUAUAUAAAUAUUAUUAUGGGUAUUUGAAGACUAACACACAUAAAGAGUGGCUAAGAUUAGUAGUUCUCUGCAUCAAAAUUAAGAGGGUUUUAGUUUGUAGAAAAAGGAUUCCUUCACCGCGUGAGGAUUCCUGACUACCAUUGAUUCAAACUAGGUUGUUGCUCUCGAUCCACUUUCGAUUUGGGAAAAAAUCAUAAGUCUCCUAACUCGUUUUUAUAACAAUCUCUCUCAAACAUUCCAUUUUUUUGAAACCUUUGGCAUCAUCUUAAAAUCACAAAUACUUCUUUCUCAUGCAACUAGAGAGGUGAUUUGGGUCCGAAUGAGUUGACCCAUAUUACCCAUAGCUCUUCUUCUUCUUUUAUUUUUUUUAUUUUUUUAUUUUUAUCUUCCCUCCAUAAAUUCGAGCACAAAUGAUAGGAAUAUAUUUUUCUCUCGGUACACUUAACUCAUUUAUUUAUAACAUUAGUGUUAGAGCUAGAAGAUUCUUAGGUUUUUACGUGUUAAACCCGAAUCUAGAUUGUAUUAUUUUAUAUUCGAAAUUGCCUAUUUUGUGCGUGAAAUCUUAGGGAUUUAAUAGAUAUCGUCAAGAGCUUUCGGAUGAUAUGUAGAACAUAAAAUUUGAUCUUACCGUUUGUGAGUAAUUGUGGUUUUAAUAUAUAGGGUUUCACAAAAAUGAAUUUAACACUAAAUUCAAUUAUUUAUGUUCCAUAUUAUUUUUGUAAUGAUCCGGCCGGUCGUUUUGAGUAUUGCAGCCCCAUUCCCCCAUUUACUGCUCAAUUUGUGCUUUACAGUUGAUAUGCGACUUGCCGGGGUAAUUAGUUCGCGUCCGGUGAGGCUUCUGAAUGAAUUGAGACACUUAGUCUCAAAGAUGAGAGCUUAAGUUGAAAAGGUUGAUCGGAUGAUUGACUUAUGUAUGUGUUAUUAGGAUUGGUUUCUGGGAUUCUCUGGCAGGUGGAUAGGCCCAGUUACAAAGGAAACUCUAGCAAAUUUUUUGAAAAUUUUGGGAGUGGGUAAAAAUUAAGGAAAUUGAAAUGGGUGAAAGAAGAGAUAAGUUAUAUUUUGUGUUUGGAGGAGGACUCUACUUCUCAUCUGAGGACUAUUAAUAUUAUGGAUACCAUUUGGAUAUAAUAACAAGUGUACGAUGCAUAUUAUAAGUGAUGUGGGGUCUAAGGAGAGGCCUAAAUCUAAGUCAAGUUGGAAAAUUUCAUAAUAGACCAAAGUUUCAAAUGGGUACGCACAAGUUCAAACUUUUAAUGAGCAUAUCUACAUAUAUAUAAGGAAUUAUGUGAUGAUCUAUCUAUCAAAUUAAAUAACUUCGAGUCUAGUUUCUAACGCUUCAAACCGUUCAUCAUUUGGACACUACUACAAGAAGUUAUGACCAAAUUACCAAAGGCUGACAGAAUGCGAGUCUGCGGCCAAAUCUGCGAACCAUUAUGCGAUCGCAGAAGUGGUUAUGCGACCGCAAAACUGGUCGCAGACCUAUCCAGAGAAGCCCAUUUCUGGGCAUCGAUUCUGCGGUGUUUUGUGCGACCCGCAUACCCAUUCUGCGGUCCAUUAUGCGACCGCAGACCCGAUUUCGGAGGGUUAAUUUUCCUAUUUUCAUCACUCGACCCCAUUUUGAUAAAUAGGCUUUGGGGCUUAUUUUAGGACAAUUAUCUAAUGAUUUUAGAGAGAAGUGAGAGUGUUUUAGAGAGAGAAAGAAGCUCAAGUGUUUUGUUCAUCAAAAAUUUUGUUCAAGCUUUGAAAUCCAACAAGGAAUUAUCACAAGAUCUUCGCCCAAGAGGUAAGGUUCUAACCCCUAUUCUUCAAUUUCGAGUUUGGGUAAAGAUGGGUGAUUGUGAGUGUGAUUCUUGCAUGUGAGAGUAUUAGUUAUACAUGCUUGUACCAAUAAAGUUAUGGGAAGAUUGUUGUGUUCAAAUGGGUAAAAAUUGGAUUGAAAAUAAUAGAAAUCUUCAAACAAAACUUUAAUUGAGGAUUUGAAAGGCAAUGAGAUGUCGGAAUUCGAUAAUUUUUGUAUGGUUGAACUCGUAUCGAAACGGGUGUUCGGAUUUUAUAAUUUUUUUCGGGAUUCGAGAUGUGGGUCCCACUGUUAUUUUUAAAGUAAAUUUCGGAUUUUAAUCCGAAAAAUUUAUAAUUUCAUAUAGAAUUAGUUCCUACGAUUCGUGUUGAGUAUGUUGAAUUAUUUGUAAUUAGAUUCGAAGCUUUCGGGCACGAAUUCUCGAGGCAAAGGUGUAUUGGAAUGUUGAAAUUUGUUUGCAAAGCGAGGUAAGUGUCGUGGUUAACCUUGAAUUGAGGGAAUAUAACUCUUAAAUUAUUUGUUAUGUGAAAUGCAUGUGAACGACGUAUAUGCGAGGUGACACGUGUCUAUACGUCGUCAAAUUAAUUAUUUGCAUAAUUACUUGAAAAAUCAUAAAUCAUUUUAAAUCAUGAAUUAAUUAUUAUAUUAAUUGUUUCUCCCGUGUUCUUUGCUCAAUAUCAUGCCUUGAAUCCAUGUUAUAAUUGCUACAUGCUUAUUUGAUUUAUGUGACUUAAUUGCCACUUGACGUUUAACAUACUAAUUAUUAAAAUGCCUAUUACAUCCUUAAUUUCCACAAUUAAUUGCUACUUGUCAUCACUUAUUUCUAAUAAAUCAUAAUUAUUGUAUGUUUGUUGUCUUAUAAUUUCAUAUUAAUUAUUGCAUUUAUUGGAGUAAUUUUUUAUAAGAAUUGGUAAAUGAAUAUAUUGGAGGAGCGGGUUGCACGCCACAACAGAAAUGAAAGUGAAUAUAUUGGAGGAGCGGGUUACACGCCGCAACAGAAUUGAUUGAAAUGAAUAUAUUGGAGGAGCGGGUUGCACGCCGCAACAGAAUUGAUUAAAAAGAUAUAUGAGGAUCGGGUUGCAAGCCGCAACAGAAUUGAAUAUAAAUAUAUUAUGGGAUCGGGUUGCACGCCGCAAUAGAAACUGAUUGAAAUAAUAAUUUAGUUAUGACUGCCGAGUUGGCUUCAACUGUUGAAAAGAGACACCUGUUUUAUUUCUAUUAUUGUUGUUAUUAUUGUUAUUGCGUACAUGUUAAUAUAUGUGACAUGCCUUAUCCUCGUCACUACUUCGUCGAGGUUAGGCUCGACACUUACUGGGUACAUGGGGUCGGUUGUACUCAUACUACACUCUGCACUUCUUGUGCAGAUUCCGGAGUUGGUCGCAGCGGCGUAUAGUAGAUUUGCUCGGAUUCAGCUAUUCGCAGGAGACUUGAGGUAUCGCUGCAUGGCGUUCGCAGUUCUGAAGUUCCCUUCCACUUUAUCAGAGCUGUGUAUUUCUUUCAGGCAACUUUAUUUUUAUUUAGACCUUUAUUUGUAUUAUUCUAGUAGCUCGUGCACUUGUGACACCAAUUAUGAGAUGGUAUUUAAACAUCGCUAUUAUUAUGGAUUAUUCACUUGAUUUAAGACUUUAUUUUCGCAUUUGUUUCUUUGUUAUUAAUUAAUUUAAAAUAGUUUUAAAAUGACUAAUGUUAUUCUAACGUUGGCUUGCCUAACAAGUGAAAUGUUAGGUGCCAUCACGGUCCCGAAGGUGGGAAUUUCGGGUCGUGAUAAUAUGAAAGCUGCAACUUGAUUGUCAAAAUAGAGAACACAUAAUUUUUCAGCUCAACGCUUAUUAACCAGUGUACUAAUUGUUACUCAUCAACAAUUUCUCUGGUCAUUAGAAAUACAUAACCUUCAUAGCAAUGAGCUAAAGCUAAUAAUUAUUAACUAAUGAUCAGAUUUAAGGAUCUAAAAUAAUGAUAUACUACCAGAAUGAGAUAAACAGUAAAUUAAUUGUCAAAACAAACGGAACACAUAGUUUCUCUGUUCAACGCUUAUCAACUAGUGUACUAGCUACUCAUUCCAAGUAUUUUUGCUUAUAGUUAUAUUAUUUCAUGCUUGUUAAUUGAAUUAAACGAAAACAUGACUCUAACCUAACAUUAUGACUGUCUUAAUACUGAUAUUAAAAAAGACAAAGAUAAUAAAACUACCUAAAUAUGAAUGCACUAAAAUCAAACACUCGGUUCUGGAAAUUUUCACUUUCGACUACAACGAUAGAACUAAAACGGGGCUGAUUGAAAAUAGAGUUGUUAGUUCUCAUUUUGUUGAAUUACAAAUAAGACACAAAUACUCCAGAAGAUAAAUACUAUAGCAAGUCACAGUAAAAACUUUCUAAAGCUAAGCCAAUGCAUACUAGACUCAAUAAAAGUUAGAGAGGUUGAGAAAAACUAACUAAAUAUUACGUUAAAAGGUUGUCUAAUAUCUAACACUAUAUUCCUGCUACAAAAGGAUUGAAACAUAACAAUUCACUAAUAAACAAUCUAAACAAAAUUGAAGUAAAGAUCAAUUUUUUUACGGGAAAUAAACAAUUGAAGGCAUAUCUUUACUCCAAACUAAAUAUUAAAGAAGGGGAGUUCCUUUAAGCACUAAUUUCAGAAACUAACGAAGAGAGUAUAGAAGAUGAAGAACAAAUUACAAGAAAACUAAACAAAGAAAAGUCUUUUACAAUCAAUUCAAAAAGGGUUCACGCAAGAAAACAUAAUCUUGAAAGAAACUGAUUUUAUAAAAUCUUGCUGAGCAACCACAAAAUAGAAUCGCUAAUGAAAAAAAUAUCUUUAAAAACCUAGAUUUAACAAAAACCCAGAUGAGAAGUAAUAAGUAAAGGUUUUCUCAAAAGAAAGUGUGCUUACUUUUGGUGAGAUAGUCGUCCAUUCCUUGUUUAAUUUUCUCCCCAAACCUGAUGAAGAGUGGAAGAGUAGAAAAUGUAGCUUUGGUUUUAGUAUACAUACCGUCAUUCAUAGACUUUGAGAGGAAUAUGCAGAUUUAGGUUUCGAGGGUAGUGAUUUAGGGAUUUUAAUUUCUUUGAGGGAGAUGAGCCGUGAGUGGGAGCCAACUAAGGUUUCUUAUUUCCUUGAAAAAG